GGGUGACAGGUGGUGCAUGGUUGUCGUCAGCUCGUGUCGUGAGAUGUUGGGUUAAGUCCCGCAACGAGCGCAACCCUCGACCUUAGUUGCCAGCAUUCAGUUGGGCACUCUAAGGUGACUGCCGGCUAAAAGUCGGAGGAAGGUGGGGAUGACGUCAAAUCAUCAUGCCCCUUAUGACCUGGGCUACACACGUGCUACAAUGGGCGGUACAAAGGGUCGCGAACCCGCGAGGGGGAGCCAAUCCCAAAAAGCCGCUCUCAGUUCGGAUUGCAGGCUGCAACUCGCCUGCAUGGAGCCGGAAUCGCUAGUAAUCGCGGAUCAGCAUGCCGCGGUGAAUACGUUCCCGGGCCUU
rnacentral:rRNA from 1 species